AACGACUCCAUCUGGAAAAUCAGAAGAACAUUUGGAAAAAUCUGUAAGUAGGAAGGAAGGAAGUACAGCUCAGGACAACUUCCUGUCUGAUUGUUUGCUGCUUUAGAACACAAUGCACAAACAGCAUCCAUCGCUACGGUAACAGAAAAAACACUUCCUGUGCUGAAGAACAAUCCACUCGUCCACUACUGAGGGUCCCUAAGAGGCCAGCAGCAGCGUGCUUCAGUCCAGAGACACAGAUGACGGUAUAAUGGCUCUCUGCCAGGAGGAGACCGCGGGCGCAAGAGGAGCCGCUUCGCUCUUCACAGGAGGACCAGAGCUAACGGCGUCAAGCCCAGCACCGUACACAUCCUCAGCAACCCACACAACAGCGAGGUGCGUGUUUCAUUCAGCUAGGAGGCUUCUUAAACACAGUGCAUUGUGGGAUAGUGAAGCUCCGUGACCUGUCCCUGCAGGCGGUGAACAGCAGGGGGCAGCACAGCAUCUCCUUCACCCUCUCCAGGAACCAGACCGUGGUGGUGGAGUACUGCCAUGAGGACCACACAGACAUGUUCCAGAUCGGCCGCUCCACCGAGAGCCCCAUAGACUUCAUGUUGACGGACAC